UGUUUCGUUGGGAUUUAAAAAUAAAAACGUUUGAGCAAUGAGAAGGAAAAUAUUUUUUUUCAUUUUAAUUGUGGCCUUACUCUUUGAGAUUUGUUGCGGUCAAAAUGCUGAUGCCAAUGGCCAGAUCAGUGCAGUUCAGAGUAAUAGUAACGGUGCAGUUAUUGACGCACCGCGACGACGUUAUCGCUGCAGAAUGGUGAGAGUACGAAGGAAGAAGAAGAAACCGUUGCCGUACGUUUCUGCUCCUACAGUUCCAAUUAUUUCUGACUCGAGAGAUGUAUCCCAAUCAACGAUCCCCUACUGAAGUGACUGGUAAACAAAUGACAAAGACAUUAUUGCAUUCAUUGGCAA